GUUUUAUAUUGAUUUACAAGCGACUUUGGUUGGUUUUCACACCACAACUCCACAAUUGCAAUAAUUAAUGAAGCAGAGAAAAAUAGGAGAGAGAAUUUAAAUGCCUUUUCGCAUAUAUUUGCCACGUUUGUAACACACAGAACAAAAAGUCGGAGAUGAUUAGUGUAACGAGCUGAGUCAAUUUAGCCAAGUUCGAAAUUUGACACGGAUUGUUGUUCAAAGUAACGCUAUUAUCUGCGAACAUAUUAUUAAGAUCGGACCACUACACACAUAUAGCUGUCAGUAAAUGAUCAAAUCAAGUCCUUUGAUGUAUGAGGGGUAUUAUACAAUAACUUCGGUGCAACUGUACCGUUUUUUCUUGUCUUUUAUUGAGAAAAAUAUGAUUUCAAUAAACAUUUAAAUAUUUGAGAUAUUUUUAGAAGGAAUCUCUCCACUGAUCUUCCUUUUGUAAACUUCAA